rnacentral:rRNA from 1 species
AGUAACGGCGAGUGAACAGGGAUUAGCCCAGCACCGAAGUCUGUGUCCAUUUGGGCAUUCGACAAUGUGGUGUUUUGGUUGGCGAUUUUAGAUGUUGCUCCGUUUAAAGUCCAUUCUUGAAUAUGGCUAUAGUUUGGCCCAGAGAGGGUGAAAGGCCCGUGUGGAUGGAGUGAUGUUUGACCUCGUUAACUGUGGAGUCGGGUUGUUUGAGAAUGCAGCCCAAAGUUGGUGGUAAACUCCAUCUAAGGCUAAAUACUGGCACGAGUCCGAUAGCGAACAAGUACCGUGAGGGAAAGUUGAAAAGUACUCUGAAGAGAGAGUUAACAGUGCGUGAAACCGCUUAGAAGCAAACGGGUGUAGUCAAGCUGCAAGCCAUAAGAAAUAGGUUGGUCAGAAUGGCGUGAGUCUGAGCAUACAGGGCUGGCAAGUAGGUCCGACUAUAUGUCGGGUUCGGCUCGCAAGGGUCGGAUUUGUGGACGUCACGGCGUUGCAAGUCUAUUUGUCAGUUGCUCUACUGGCCCUCUCAAUUUCUUUUGGCGUAUGUCACGACCGUCUUUGCUGUCGGUCUGCUUUGGUUAAACCGUGUCGUGAGUAGUUUCGUGCUUCUUGCGGUACGGGGGCAGGUAGCUAAUCCAAUUUCGGUUGGUUUAGUGUAAUUGCUGACCAGAGUGGUAUCAGUAACUGUGCAGUAAGAUGGGGCUGGCGGUGCAUUGUUGCUAGACGUGCUAAAGUGUGCUAGCGUGGUUCGGGCAUGGCUACUUGUUGCUGUUUCUGACGGCCUUGUAGUUGUCUGGCUACGGUUUAGCAUACGGCUGCGUUUGGUCAAUCUUUGCGUUGUGCCUACAGUCUGUGGCGUAGUGGUAGACGAUCCACCCGA